rnacentral:rRNA from 1 species
GAGUGGCGGACGGGUGAGGAAUACAUCGGAAUCUGCCCGGUUGUGGGGGAUAACGUAGGGAAACUUACGCUAAUACCGCAUACGACGAAAGGUGAAAGCGUGGGAUGCAAGGACCUCGCGCGGCCGGAUGAGCCGAUGUCGGAUUAGCUAGUUGGCGGGGUAAAGGCCCACCAAGGCGACGAUCCGUAGCUGGUCUGAGAGGAUGAUCAGCCACACUGGGACUGAGACACGGCCCAGACUCCUACGGGAGGCAGCAGUGGGGAAUAUUGGACAAUGGGGGCAACCCUGAUCCAGCAAUGCCGCGUGUGUGAAGAAGGCCUUCGGGUUGUAAAGCACUUUUAUCCGGAACGAAACGCGCAGGGUGAAUAGCCUUGCGAACUGACGGUACCGGAGGAAUAAGCACCGGCUAACUUCGGGCCAGCAGCCGCGGUAAUACGAAGGGUGCAAGCGUUACUCGGAAUUACUGGGCGUAAAGCGUGCGUAGGUGGUUUGUUAAGUCUGUUGUGAAAGCCCCGGGCUCAACCUGGGAAUGGCAAUGGAUACUGGCAAGCUAGAGUGCGGUAGAGGGUAGUGGAAUUCCCGGUGUAGCGGUGAAAUGCGUAGAGAUCGGGAGGAACACCAGUGGCGAAGGCGACUACCUGGACCAGCAC